UACGUAGGUGGCAAGCGUUAUCCGGAUUUACUGGGUGUAAAGGGCGUGUAGACGGCAGAGCAAGUCUGAAGUGAAAGCCCGCGGCCCAACUGCGGGACUGCUUUGGAAACUGCCCGGCUAGAGUGCUGGAGAGGUAAGCGGAAUUCCUAGUGUAGCGGUGAAAUGCGUAGAUAUUAGGAGGAACACCAGUGGCGAAGGCGGCUUACUGGACAGUAACUGACGUUGAGGCUCGAAAGCGUGGGGAGCAAACAGG
rnacentral:rRNA from 1 species